AACUGAGCCACCCAGGCGCCCCCCUUUAUACUCUUUAACAGGUUUGAUAUUUGGUGAAAUCAGAACAGUGCACAGGAGUCGUCCUACGGCCCCCCCGGCAGUCGACCCACGCUCCCCAGAGACCUCUCAGGGGCCAUCGGAGGGAAGUGGGAGCCCAGGAAGUUCAAGCACAGCUGUUGGGACCUGGAGGGAUCGGCAGUGUGACACUUGCUCUCCUCUGACUUAGGCCCUCUUCGCGCUUUGAUUUGAACCAGAGUUAUUUGCUUGCCUAUGUUCAUGUACGUGAAGCCCCAACAAAGUGUCUUGCAGUUAAUAGGCACAAAACAAAUACUAAUACCCUCCUGUCAUGUAGGACAGUGAGUUCCCUGGAGAUACUUGCAUUGUUCUGGGCAGUACAUAGGAGCACGGUGCUUGGAUUCAGACAAACCUGUCGAGGGUCUUAAGUUUGCUUCCUUCUAGCAGCACGAUGGGAAAAAAAAACCAAAACCAAAACCAAAACAAAACAAAACAACCUAUAGAUAAACUUGGUUGCAUUAUACCUUUUGUAAAUGGAUACAACCAGCCAGAGUCUGUUAUAGAUGCCUCUGAACCCAUUUUCUCUUCUGUACCACAGUUCCCAUCUCAUUGGGAUAUUGAAAGGAUCAGGUCAACAUAUUCCUCUAAGACUGGCUAAUGUUGAUCAAAGGCUUAUGUUCAGAGCACCGUUUGAAGUGCUUUCAGCAUGACCAUCUUAUUUAGUUCCUAUAAAGCGGCACCCCCACUUUGCAGAUAAGAAAACAGCCUCAGAGAAGUUGAGUAAUGUGCCUAAGAUCACAAAGCUGCUAAGUGAACGGGGAUUUGAACCGAGGAAGCUUCGUGCUCUCUCUGGCAUCUUUACACUCCACUUUGCAGAGCACUUUGCCCGUGCCCUCCCCUCAUCACACGGGUGCUUCGACACCCUGGUAAACGCUCUCUGAAUAACACCUACAGGAAUGUCUUUCCAGGUGGCCGGUUUGAAAAGCACUAACUGUGCUGUUGUGGCAGAGAAAAUGCACUUGUUUGGAAGAGAGACACAUUCUAGGAGGCUGAGGCUUAAGCCUUUCCAACAGAAUGAUCAGAACUCACGUUGGAAUAAGGUUGAGGAAGAAGGGUUGAGCUGGUGAAGAUUUCUGCCAUCCUCUCUUCCAAUCAGCUGCUGCCCUGGGCUGCUGCCAGCCUGAUGACUCUUCUCCCGCAUGCAAGAGGGUGAAGCAUGAGGGUGUUACCAGGAACUGAGACCUGGACAGGCUUUCAGGGCUGGGCACCCAGCGGAGUCACACCCGAGCGGUGGGCGCUUGCCAGCUUUGGGGCUAAGCUAUUGCCCCUGAGAGGCUGGGCAGGGCGGGCAGCUCUUUGCUCUUUGCUUGCUGAUUCUCUCGUCUCCCAGGGCAACGGGCUGGAGCAGACUGUGGUCACCCGUGGGAAUGCUCCUCCUGAGUCAGCGGGGCCCGCAGCGCCCCGGGGUGUGGCUGUGUCUGUCUGCAGGGCCCUGCACAGAUGCUUUUAUUACGAGGAUGUUGCUGCACCAUCAUGGCUUGAGGGCUGGAGCCGCGGGCCACAAGCUGCUUGUUCUGAGCCUGAUUAGGUCCCCAGAAAGUGUCAGCCUCUAGGAUGUUCCACCGGGCUGCCUCUGUACGUAUAAAGUGUUUAAGAUGGGGACAUUUGAAGACUGUUAGUGGAUCUGUGCAUGACCAUCAGAAAAAGACUAGAGACCCUGGUUCUAGAAUCAACGCUGAUUUGUUGUAGAAAUUGCCUCUCUUCGAGGCCCUACUUCCCUCAUCUGGAAAAUUAAAAUAACUCCUGCCCCACCUGUAUCACUGGACUAUUCUGAGAACCAAAUGAGAUGAUAAAUGUAAAAGAGAUCAAUAAAUGGCAAGGUAUGGCCCCAAAGCAA